UACGUAGGGUGCGAGCGUUGUCCGGAAUUAUUGGGCGUAAAGGGCUCGUAGGCGGUUUGUCGCGUCGGGAGUGAAAACUCAGGGCUUAACCCUGAGCCUGCUUCCGAUACGGGCAGACUAGAGGUAUGCAGGGGAGAACGGAAUUCCUGGUGUAGCGGUGAAAUGCGCAGAUAUCAGGAGGAACACCGGUGGCGAAGGCGGUUCUCCGGGCAUUACCUGACGCUGAGGAGCGAAAGUGUGGGGAGCGAACAGG
rnacentral:rRNA from 1 species